GAAGCCCAGCGCAUAAUCUCCCGGGCUACCCAGCCUGCGGCGAAAUGUUGCGUUAAGGGAGAGGUCGUUUCAAAGCCCUGCACAGCGUGUUCCUAAAUACGUCUUGAAUAUUCACUGUCUCCUAACGGAUUCAACGGUUCCAUAGAGGGUGACAGACCCGUGUGGCCGCGUGAAUUGUGCAUGGGUUCGGCUUAUACUCCCAGAGAGUCGCGUUGCUUGAGCAUGCAGCGCUAAGCAGGUCGUAAACUCGACCUAAGGCUAAAUAUUUCCACAGAACCGAUAGUAAACAAGUACCGUGAGGGAAAGUUGAAAAGCACUCUGAAGAGAGAGUCAAAAGACCGUGAAACCGUUCAGUGUAUAAGCCAAUGGUACAAUCGGAAGGCUGGAGCUGCCGUCUACACUUACGGUGUGGCGGUAUCGUGUGUGAUUAAACUAAGGCGCACCUGGUUCGGCUAUUAAGAAGACAUCGGGUCGGUCGAAAACAUGCGGGUCUCUGACAGUGGUAACAGGGGAAGAGAAGUGAGGCUCUUCCCCGAGGCUGGGCUUGUGCAUGGGGGCGUUGCCAGUCACACAAACGAGUAGCUCAUUAACGGCCCACCACAACUCUUUACGUGGUCACCCACACGGCAUGAGUAUUUGCCGACGUGGCGUAACUCUCGACAGUUCGCGCUGUCGAGGCCGGCCGUCGGUUUCAUGCAUUCCAACGUGUGUCGGUACGAUCCUCUGUGAAGGUUGCUUUCUGACCAUCCGAAUGCUGAGAUGGGAGUCGAGUGCAUGGGGGACCUGCCAACGGUGUCCGGCGGAGAGUCUGUGGUUGUUACGUUGGCGGACGGGUGACUUGGUGUCCUAUUCCGGAACCAUUGGUCACGUCUCGAAACACGGGCCAAGGAGCAUAGCAUGUGCGCGAGUCUAAGGGUCUCACAAAACCCGGUGGCGAAGUGAAAGCGAGCGGUGUGUCGGUCAUCAUCUUCGGCUGGUGGCUGGCAGCCUUCGAGAGAGUUAUUCUUACGUGAAUGAAAACUCAUCAGGCUUAUACCGGGCUGAUCCGUCGCAAUCAAGACUAAAUGUCGAUGCGACGGCGCAGGCCCCAGGCUCUCAAUCAGCAUGUUACGUGUUUGAGAGCACUGUGGAGCGUGCAUGCUAUGACCCGAAAGAUAGUGAACUAUGCCUGGCGA
rnacentral:rRNA from 1 species